rnacentral:rRNA from 1 species
UGAGGAAUAUUUGUCAAUGGACGCAAGUCUGAACCAGCCAAGUAGCGUGCAGGAUUACGGCCCUAUGGGUUGUAAACUGCUUUUAUAUGGGGAUAAAGUGGGGAACGUGUUCCCUUUUGCAGGUACCAUCUGAAUAAGGACCGGCUAAUUCCGUGCCAGCAGCCGCAGUAAUACGGAAGGUUCGGGCGUUAUCCGGAUUUAUUGGGUUUAAAGGGAGCGUAGGCCGUUUGGUAAGCGUGUUGUGAAAUGUAAGAGCUCAACUUUUAGAUUGCAGCGCGAACUGGCAGACUUGAGUGCGCACAACGUAGGCGGAAUUCAUGGUGUAGCGGUGAAAUGCUUAGAUAUCAUGACGAACUCCGAUUGCGAAGGCAGCUUACGGGAGCGCAACUGACGCUAAAGCUCGAAGGGGCGGGUAUCGAACAGG